AUGCAACGGCCGGGAAUCGAACCCGGGGCGCCCGCGUGGCAGGCGAGCAUUCUACCACUGACGGUGACAGAAUUAA